rnacentral:rRNA from 1 species
UACAGGGGGGGGCAAGCGUUGUUCGGAAUUACUGGGCGUAAAGGGUUCGUAGGUGGCCAACUAAGUCAGACGUGAAAUCCCUCAGCUUAACUGGGGGAACUGCGUCUGAUACUGGAUGGCUUGAGUGUAGGAGAGGAAUGCGGAAUUCCAGGUGUAGCGGUGAAAAUGCGUAGAUAUCUGGAGGAACACCGGUGGCGAAAGGCGGCAUUCUGGACUACAACUGACACUGAGGAACGAAAAGCCAGGGGGGAGCAAAACGGGG